AUUGAACGCUGGCGGCAUGCUUUACACAUGCAAGUCGAACGGUAACAGGCCUUCGGGCGCUGACGAGUGGCGAACGGGUGAGUAAUGCAUCGGAACGUGCCCAGUCGUGGGGGAUAACUAUCCGAAAGGAUAGCUAAUACCGCAUACGAUCUGCGGAUGAAAGCGGGGGACCUGCGGGCCUCGCGCGAUUGGAGCGGCCGAUGUCAGAUUAGGUAGUUGGUGGGGUAAAGGCUCACCAAGCCAACGAUCUGUAGCUGGUCUGAGAGGACGACCAGCCACACUGGGACUGAGACACGGCCCAGACUCCUACGGGAGGCAGCAGUGGGGAAUUUUGGACAAUGGGCGAAAGCCUGAUCCAGCAAUGCCGCGUGCAGGAAGAAGGCCUUCGGGUUGUAAACUGCUUUUGUACGGAACGAAACGGCUCUGGUUAAUACCCGGGGCUAAUGACGGUACCGUAAGAAUAAGCACCGGCUAACUACGUGCCAGCAGCCGCCGUAACAC
rnacentral:rRNA from 1 species